AGAGCGAACGCUGGCGGCAGGCUUAACACAUGCAAGUCGAGCGGGCGUAGCAAGUACGUCAGCGGCAGACGGGUGAGUAACGCGUGGGAACAUACCUUUUGGUUCGGAACAACACAGGGAAACUUGUGCUAAUACCGGAUAAGCCCUUACGGGGAAAGAUUUAUCGCCGAAAGAUUGGCCCGCGUCUGAUUAGCUAGUUGGUGAGGUAACGGCUCACCAAGGCGACGAUCAGUAG
rnacentral:rRNA from 1 species